rnacentral:tRNA from 1 species
GCCCAGCUAUCUCAGUCAGUAGAACAUGAAACUCUUAAUCUCAGGGUUGUGGGUUCAAGCCCCACAUUGGGCA